UUGGGAUAACCCCGGGAAACCGGGGCUAAUACCGGAUAUGACCUUGCACCGCAUGGUGUUUGGUGGAAAGUUUUUCGGCUUGGGAUGGGCUCGCGGCCUAUCAGCUUGUUGGUGGGGUGAUGGCCUACCAAGGCGACGACGGGUAGCCGGCCUGAGAGGGCGACCGGCCACACUGGGACUGAGACACGGCCCAGACUCCUACGGGAGGCAGCAGUGGGGAAUAUUGCACAAUGGGCGGAAGCCUGAUGCAGCGACGCCGCGUGAGGGAUGACGGCCUUCGGGUUGUAAACCUCUUUCAGCAGGGACGAAGCGUAAGUGACGGUACCUGCAGAAGAAGCGCCGGCCAACUACGUGCCAGCAGCCGCGGUAAGACGUAGGGCGCGAGCGUUGUCCGGAUUUAUUGGGCGUAAAGAGCUCGUAGGCGGCUUGUCGCGUCGACCGUGAAAACCUGGGGCUCAACCCCAGGCCUGCGGUCGAUACGGGCAGGCUAGAGUUCGGUAGGGGAGACUGGAAUUCCUGGUGUAGCGGUGAAAUGCGCAGAUAUCAGGAGGAACACCGGUGGCGAAGGCGGGUCUCUGGGCCGAUACUGACGCUGAGGAGCGAAAGCGUGGGGAGCGAACAGGAUUAGAUACCCUGGUAGUCCACGCUGUAAACGUUGGGCGCUAGGUGUGGGGGGCCUCUCCGGUUCCCUGUGCCGCAGCUAACGCAUUAAGCGCCCCGCCUGGGGAGUACGGCCGCAAGGCUAAAACUC
rnacentral:rRNA from 1 species